rnacentral:rRNA from 1 species
CACGUAGGGUGCAAGCGUUGUCCGGAAUUAUUGGGCGUAAAGAGCUCGUAGGCGGUCUGUUGCGUCCGCUGUGAAAACUCGGGGCUUAACCCCGAGCCUGCAGUGGAUACGGGCAGACUAGAGGUAGGUAGGGGAGAAUGGAAUUCCCGGUGUAGCGGUGAAAUGCGCAGAUAUCGGGAGGAACACCGGUGGCGAAGGCGGUUCUCUGGGCCUUACCUGACGCUGAGGAGCGAAAGCGUGGGGAGCGAACAGG